GAUGAAGAACGCAGCGAAAUGCGAUAAGUAGUGUGAAUUGCAGAAUUCAGUGAAUCAUCGAAUCUUUGAACGCACAUUGCGCCCCUUGGUAUUCCAUGGGGCAUGCCUGUUCGAGCGUCAUUUGUUCCUUCAAGCUCUGCUUGGUGUUGGGUGUUUGUCUCGCCUCUGCGUGUAGACUCGCCUCAAAACAAUUGGCAGCCGGCGUAUUGAUUUCGGAGCGCAGUACAUCUCGCGCUUUGCACUCAUAACGACGACGUCCAAAAGUACAUUUUUACACUCUUGACCUCGGAUCAGGUAGGGAUACCCGCUGAACUUAAGCAUAUCAAUAAGCGGAGGA
rnacentral:misc_RNA from 1 species